CGGCCGCAGACGCCGGCGGCCGGAGACGAGGCGUGCGGGAGGCCUCUGAGGCCGAGACUGAAUUUCUGCCGGCCCGCUCUCCUCGGCCUCCUCUUUCCGGAUCAGGUGGCCGUGGGGCCCCGGCCUGCACGGCAGGCUCCCGGGGAGGAAAGUCCCCUCUGCCGGGCCUCUCCUAGAGCUUAGUUUGGGUGUGGUGGAACAAGGACCCUGGAGCUUAUGUAUCCCGAAGAUGAAGAUCUCAAACAUCCUGGUGUUCUGUUGGCAGUUAUCCUUAUCUCUGCUGAUCAGUGGUUGCUCUAGGGCUGCAAGGUUAGUAGGAUGGCACCAAGUGUCAGUGCGAAUCACCUGUGGCUCUUAUUAAGAUUGCUGCAAGUAUAAAAUGCUUAAGAGGACCCCAUGCACAUUUCUGGAGCUCUUUCUCUGUGUGUCUCCCGUCUCCCCUUACUCUACUCUACAAAGAUAAGAAGUAGAGAGAGAGAGUAGCUUGUACAAGUCUAUAGAGAGGAAAAAGCAGGUUUCAUAUGACAUAUCAAAGGUGAAUGUGUUGGACUUCUCAACAGCAACUCUGGAAGUGAAAGGAUAAUGGAGCAAUGCUUCAAGUUUCUGAAGGAAAAUUACUUCUAAUUUACAAUUCUGUACAAGCCAAGCUAUCAAUCAUGAGGCUAGAAUAAAGUUAUUUUCAAACCUAAAAGGUCUCAAAAAAUACACAUUCCAUGCAUCCUUUCUCAAGAAGCUAAUGGAGGAUGUGUACCACCUAAAUGAAGAUUAAACCAAGAAAAAGUAGGACAUGUGAUCAAGGAAAUAUGAAACCCAAAAUAAGAGAGAGGUGAAAGCAAUUGCAGAUUGAUGGUUUUGAACAGUAAGAUGAAAUUAAUGAACACCUAGUAUGUCUGAACAAACUGAGAGGAGGCUUACCCUCCUGGGCCAUAGUUUGGGGUUAAAUUAAUGAUUAUUAUAUAAGAAACUAACCAAAUGUUUUAAAAGAAUUUUUAUUACAUCUAACAAUUUAUUCAAACUUUUUAAAGGGAUAAACAAAACUUCCUAAAAAGAGUAUUAUGAUUUUGGUGUUUGGCAUUCUUACAUUAUACUUCCCCUUUGUUUAUGAGGAACUACAUUUUAACUGCCUUGCCUUACAGUUUUAAGAGGAAAUGCAGCAAACUGGAAAUAAAAGCAAAAGCAGAGAAACAAAACUGGUAUCUGUAAAUUAAUAACCUAUGGUAAAACUAUUUUAAAAUCAUCUUCUAUAAUACUUUGUGGCACUAAAAACAAGCAGUAUAUAGAAUGGCCUUAUAGAAAAUUCCUUGAGACACAUGGUAGAAUAAAGUGAGCUUUGAAAAACCCUUUCUACCCUGUAAUUCUAUGAGUGUAGAUUGAGAAGCCACUUUUGCAGUCAUUGACUAGAAAAAGAUUUAGUAAGGGGCCGGCCCGGUGGCGUAGCGGUUAAGAUUGCGUGGUCCCCUUCAGCGGCCUGGGGUUCGCAGGUUUGGAUCCCAGGCGCGGACUGACGCACUGCUUGUCAAGCCAUGCUGUGGCAGCGUCCCAUAUAAAGCAGAGGAAGAUGGGCACGGAUGUUAGCCCAGGGCCAAUCUUCCUCAGCAAAAAAGAGGAGGAUUGCCAAUGGGUGUUAGCUCAGGGCUAAUCUUCCUCACACACACAAAAACAGAUUUAGUUAAGAAGUAAAUAUAUGCAUAGGUAUAUGUAAACAUAUAUAAUAAAAAGCUUAAUUCUGUAGAUUUCUUGAAGUUCCUUUUUCUUUUUUAGAAGUCACCAUUUUUGCCUUAGAAAUUCCAUGCUUACUAUAAUCUUUGUUAAAAUAAUAGGGCAGGUUCUUAUUUACCUCGGAAGUUUAUGGAACUAGCCUACUCUAAGUGCUCAUGAACUAGGCAUUAAAGAAAAUAGGAAUCUAACUAAUGCUUUGUGAUAUUACUGUUAUGCAGAGAAUUUGAGAUUUAAUAAUAUAUUGCUACAUGAUGUAAUCUAUGCAGAAAUAGAAGUACACUGAUGUACACCUGAAACUUUUACAAUGUU